rnacentral:rRNA from 2 species
UUAAAUUGAAGAGUUUGAUCAUGGCUCAGAUUGAACGCUGGCGGCAGGCCUAACACAUGCAAGUCGAACGGUAACAGGAAGCAGCUUGCUGCUUCGCUGACGAGUGGCGGACGGGUGAGUAAUGUCUGGGAAACUGCCUGAUGGAGGGGGAUAACUACUGGAAACGGUGGCUAAUACCGCAUAACGUCGCAAGACCAAAGAGG